rnacentral:tRNA from 1 species
GGAUCUGUGGCGCAAUGGUAGCGCGUUUUAACUCCAGAUUAGUUUGCAUGUUCUAUUUACAUCAGGUUCA